rnacentral:rRNA from 1 species
UACGGGGGGGGCAAGCGUUGUUCGGAAUUACUGGGCGUAAAGGGUUCGUAGGUGGCCAACUCAGUCAGACGUGAAAUCCCUCAGCUCAACUGGGGAACUGCGUCUGAUACUAGAUGGCUCGAGUGCAGGAGAGGGAAGUGGAAUUCCUGGUGUAGCGGUGGAAUGCGCAGAUAUCAGGAGGAACACCAAUAGCGAAGGCAGCUCGCUGGGACGUUACUGACACUGAGAUGCGAAAGCGUGGGGAGCAAACAGG